UCUCCCACGUCACCCAGCUACAGUCCCACAUCACCCAGCUACAGCCCAACUUCUCCCAGCUACAGCCCUACAUCUCCCAGCUAUAGCCCCACUUCACCUGCAUACAGCCCAACAUCUCCAGCAUACAGCCCCACUUCACCUGCCUAUAGUCCCACUUCUCCAUCAUAUAGUCCAACAUCACCUUCCUACAGUCCAACUUCGCCUUCCUACAGCCCCACAUCACCCUCUUACAGCCCGACAUCUCCCUCAUAUAGCCCUACAUCACCUGCUUACAGCCCUACCUCUCCUGGGUACAGCCCCACAUCACCCUCUUACAGCCCAACAUCACCAUCAUAUAGUCCUACUUCCCCAAGUUACAAUCCGCAGUCUGCUAAGUAUAGCCCUUCAUUGGCAUAUUCUCCCAGCAGUCCGAGGUUGUCUCCAUCAAGUCCCUAUAGUCCCACGUCUCCAAGCUAC
rnacentral:lncRNA from 1 species